AUGGAGGUGAUGACAAUUUCCCCAAAUGAUCGAAUCAGAUUAUACUAAGCGAUUUUUAUUUCCUUCUCAACAGAGGAAAUCAAGCCAAUGUUCUGAUCCUU
rfam:Arabidopsis thaliana chromosome 5, complete sequence.